UGCUUUCUCUUCUGCUUGUUCUACUCCCUUUAGAUAUGCCUGAUUCACAGGGAGGAACUGUGUUUGCUUGCCUUUCUUCAGCCCUUGAGCUGAGCAUUUUCUUGCCAUUGCCUGAUCGCUGUUGAUCUGGCCGAUAUUGCCCACAGGGAUUGGGUAGCGAAUCUUCUGAUGUGUGGCAGAGGUGAUGGCGUUGAUCUGGCCGAUCC
rnacentral:lncRNA from 1 species